rnacentral:rRNA from 1 species
UGGAGGGCAAGUCUGGUGCCAGCAGCCGCGGUAAUUCCAGCUCCAAUAGCGUAUAUUAAAGUUGUUGCAGUUAAAAAGCUCGUAGUUGAAUUUCGGGAUCAAUGUUUCGGUCAUGCCGUUGGUAUGUACUGAUAUUAUUGAUUUCUCACCUUCUAAAGAACCGUAAUGCCAUUAAUUUGGUGUCACGGGGAAUUAGGACUGUUACCUUGAAAAAAUUAGAGUGUUUAAAGCAGGCUCACGCUUGAAUACAUUAGCAUGGAAUAAUGAAAUAGGACAUCCGAUUCUAUUUUGUUGGUUUCUAGGAUCGAUGUAAUGAUUAAUAGGGAUAGUUGGGGGCAUUAGUAUUCAAUUGUCAGGGGUGAAAUUCUUGGAUUUAUUGAAGACUAACUACUGCGAAAGCAUUUGCCAAGGAUGUUUUCAUUAAUCAAGAACGAAAGUUAGGGGAUCGAAGACGAUCAGAUACCGUCGUAGUCUUAACCAUAAACUAUGCCGACUAGGGAUCGGAUGAUGUUCAUUUUUUAAUGACUCAUUCGGCGCCUUACGGGAAAC